rnacentral:lncRNA from 1 species
ACUCAAAUAUAUAUCAUAGAUAAUCUGAUCACAAAUCCACAAUUCAUCGGAUCUCGACAAACACACCGCCAAAGAGGAUUACAUCGGAUAGAUCUCCAUGAAGAUCAUGGAGAACUUUGUAUUGAAGAUCCAAGAUAGAGAACAAGCCAUCUAGCUACUAACUACGGACCCGUAGGUCUGAAGUGAACUACUCACGAGUUAUUGGAGGGCGAUGAUGUUGAUGAAGA